AGUGAACGCUGGCGGUAGGCCUAACACAUGCAAGUCGAACGGCAGCACAGUAAGAGCUUGCUCUUACGGGUGGCGAGUGGCGGACGGGUGAGGAAUACAUCGGAAUCUACUUUUUCGUGGGGGAUAACGUAGGGAAACUUACGCUAAUACCUCAUACGACCUACGGGUUAAAGCAGUGGAUCUUCGGACCUUUCGCGAUUGAAUGAGCCGAUGUCGGAUUAGCUAGUUGGCGGGGUAAAGGCCCACCAAGGCGACGAUCCGUAGCUGGUCUGAGAGGAUGAUCAGCCACACUGGAACUGAGACACGGUCCAGACUCCUACGGGAGGCAGCAGUGGGGAAUAUUGGACAAUGGGCGCAAGCCUGAUCCAGCCAUACCGCGUGGGUGAAGAAGGCCUUCGGGUCGUAAAGCCCUUUUGUUGGGAAAGAAAAGCAGUAGGUUAAUACCCCGAUGUUCUGACGGUACCCAAAGAAUAAGCACCGGCUAACUUCGUG
rnacentral:rRNA from 1 species